UAGACCUCUGGCCCACAGCCUGUGAAGGCCCUCCAUGCAACAAUCCAACAACCACGUGAGUGAACCUGGAAGAAGAGCCUCCCUAGUCAAGCUUCCACAUGAGACCACAGCCCAGCUGACACCCUGACUGAACCCUGUGGGAGACCCUAGGACUCUGCAUUCUCAAAAGCACCUGGAUUCUCUUAAGAUUCCUGCUACAGAAGCUGGUGGUCUUUGGUCUCAUCUUAACUUUAAUAAAGGCUGAAUUAAAGACA